GACGAACCGUGCGAACGUUAUUCGGAAUCACUGGGCUUAAAGCGCGUGUAGGCGGGCCGCCGCGGCGGCUGCUGAAAUCCCCCGGCUCAACCGGGGAACGGGCACCGAUACGGGCGGCCUCGAGGGGGGUAGGGGGGUCUGGAACUUCCGGUGGAGCGGUGAAAUGCGUUGAGAUCGGAAGGAACGCCCGUGGCGAAAGCGAGGCCCUGGACCCUUUCUGACGCUGAGACGCGAAAGCCAGGGGAGCGAACGGG
rnacentral:rRNA from 1 species